CUUUUGCUCCUACCUAAUAUCAUCCCCACAACCGCCUUCUGGGCAGAAACCGGCAGGCUCUCUUGGAGAAGUCACAGGCGUGGCCAUUUCCUGCAAAGAGCCAAACCCCUAUUCCUCUGUGCCCCUCCUCUCCCACCAAGUGCUUUAUAAAAAUAGCUCUUGUUACCGGAAAUAACUGUUCAUUUUUCACUCCUCCCUCCUAGGUCACACUUUUCAGAAAAAGAAUCUGCAUCCUGGAAACCAGAAGAAAAAUAUGAGACGGGGAAUCAUCGUGUGAUGUGUGUGCUGCCUUUGGCUGAGUGUGUGGAGUCCUGCUCAGGUGUUAGGCUGCACUCAGAGAAGCUGCCCUUGGCUGCUCGUAGCGCCGGGCCUUCUCUCCUCGUCAUCAUCCAGAGCAGCCAGUGUCCGGGAGGCAGAAGAUGCCCCACUCCAGCCUGCAUCCAUCCAUCCCGUGUCCCAGGGGUCACGGGGCCCAGAAGGCAGCCUUGGUUCUGCUGAGUGCCUGCCUGGUGACCCUUUGGGGGCUAGGAGAGCCACCAGAGCACACUCUCCGGUACCUGGUGCUCCACCUAGCCUCCCUGCAGCUGGGACUGCUGUUAAACGGGGUCUGCAGCCUGGCUGAGGAGCUGCGCCACAUCCACUCCAGGUGACUCACUGCAGUACCCAGGGACGGGGUAUCCAACAUGUGUCACUCCCUUGAUGCCU
rnacentral:sRNA from 1 species